UAGUCCACGCCGUAAACGAUGAGUAUUUGUUGUCGGGAGAUUCGACCCUCUCGGUAGCGGAGCUAACGCGUUAAAUACUCCGCCUGGGUACUACGACCGCAAGGUUGAAACUCAAAGGAAUUGACGGGGACCCGCACAAGCGGUGGAACAUGUGGUUUAAUUCGAUGAUACGCGAGGAACCUUACCAGGGCUUAAAUGUACGUUGCAUGAUUUAGAGAUAGAUCUUUCUUCGGACUACGUACAAGGUGCUGCAUGGUUGUCGUCAGCUCGUGCCGUGAGGUGUCAGGUUAAGUCCUAUAACGAGCGCAACCCCUAUCGUUAGUUGCCAACAGGUUAAGCUGGGAACUCUAACGAGACUGCCGGUGCAAACCGCGAGGAAGUGGGGAUGACGUCAAAUCAUCACGGCCCUUACGUCCUGGGGCCACACACGUGCUACAAUGGCCGGUACAGAGAGCAGCCAC
rnacentral:rRNA from 1 species